AUGAUACCUCAGCCUGAUGAAAGCGUAACUAACUUCACUCGGCAUCGCAUCUGGGAAGUUUUUUCACCUGGGCAAAUGAUGGAGGGUGAUGUAAUGGACUUCCUCAUUGAUGAUUGGAAGCAAGAUCCCGAGAGAAAUGCUGAUUUCGCAUCUGGGAAAAGGAUAUUGCUGAGUCCAUAUUUCAUCAUGGUUGUGCUUAACUGUUCGUUUUACGAGGAUGAAAUUAAAGUGUUUAAUGUGGAGAGUGCAGCGAGAAAUUUCAAGAGCUAUGCUAAAGCUAAUGAAGACUUGCUCAGUGCCGACCUUAUCAUGAUGCCUCUAUUCAAGCCUAUGGUUUUAUCAAAGGAUAGGAAAGUGAACCACUAUUCCUUAUAUGUCAUGAAUCGGUACCGAAGUAGCGUUGACAUCCUUGACUCUUUACCUUAUCCGAAGAACCACCGUCCUUCAAAGAACACCUAUCACAAAGACUGCGAGAAGAUUUACAAUGCGAGCAAGCAGCCCAAUUGGGAGCUAUUUGCAAAGAAACCAAGGUUUGUCAAGGUUCCACUUCAAGGUGAAAAUGAAUGUGGCCAUUAUACUCUGAAGUAUGCGGGAUGCUAUGAUGGUGAAAAGAUCAUUGAGAACAUUCGAGAUAAUGACCCACGCAUUGUUGAUUGGAAUACUGAGGAUCUGUAUAAAGUUGUGUUCAACCGAAAUAACCAUCUUAUGGUGACGGAGCUUCCCAAGGAGGUUCAGGCUUUGGCUCCUGAUGCAUAG
rnacentral:rRNA from 1 species